UUCUCUUCGCUAGAAAAAAAAAAAAAAAACGCCACAGAGAAUCACUUUUGAGAUCCGGCAAUAAAAUGUCAAUUUCCCUUUAAUCUCGCCUCUAUCACAAUUAGGGUUUUCACUAUCGUCCCCAAUUUCCGUUAAAUUACUACUAACCCAACUGUCUCCUCACUCAAUUCUAUGCCCAGUGUUCAUUGUCUUGGGUUCCUAGAUUCCAUUCACCUCUAAAAUUCUGUUUCUUUUGGACCGGAUCAAAACCGUCAACUGAGGUUCUACUGAUUUUUGCUGGGAUUUUCAUUGUUGUAUGAUUUGUUGACUUUUGGGUUUGAAUUGCUGAUCAUAAGGAGCUGAGAUUGGCGGAAAUUGUGUGUGGUCGGUGUUGCAUGUUGGGAAUUACUGAAUUUGGAGCUCAAAUUCAGUAUUUUUUUUUGUUGAAUGAUGAUAAGGAGAUUGAUAACGGUUUGGGUUUGAUAAUUUUUUGGGUUUUUUAGGGGUUGGCUUUGAUUUGGUGACUCUGCAUGUGUAACCGGUAAGGGGUCCUCUGCUAGAGUGUGGAGGAUCCCUAUUAAUUGUUUUAUUAUUUGCCUAAUUAUUAUUGUUGAAGAGGUUGAGAGAUGAAGAAAUGCAAAUGACAACAAUCACUUGAUUUGGAGGUUCUGUUUUUGGCAAGUUGAGGGGUUUUGCAUAAUUGGUAUUUGUGGAUUGGUAUUGAUUGUCCAGCAUAUUUAUAUAAAUUAUUUUGGGAGGGAAAUGUUUGGUUCUGGUGCAGCUACUGGCCAUGAUAAUACUGGAGUCGUUCCUAUGCGCUUUGUGUGGCCUUACGGAGGGAGGAGUGUGUUUCUCAGCGGCUCUUUCACUGGUUGGACUGAACACAUACCUAUGUCCCCAAUGGAGGGGUGCCCGACUGUGUUCCAAGUUAUUUGGAGCUUAACACCGGGACAUCAUCAGUACAAGUUUUUUGUUGACGGAGAAUGGCGGCAUGAUGAGCAUCAGCGGUCUGUAAGUGGGAAUUACGGGGUAGUAAAUACUGUUUUCGUACCCAUGGAACUGUAUGUGGAUCCUUCAGUUUUUGAUCUUGAGACAUCUGGAUCUAAUAUG
rnacentral:misc_RNA from 1 species